CCUUCCUUUGGGCCGGUGUUAAACGCAUGGAAGACUAACAUCCACAGUCAUCUUAUAUUUCAAGAUCAAUCAAUCUACACAAAAGAGGUUACUUCGGCAACAUAAUGCUUCAAUUGACUAAUUUAAAAUAUUAGACGCUAAAUAAUUUAGUUCCUUAAGUCAUAUAUUGAAUCUUGACUGAAUAUGUUACAUGUUUUGACAUGUAACAAUCUGAAUAUUAAUUGUUUUAACCUUAAUUGGAUAAUACCAAAAUCUGAAGCCAUGAUGGACCAAAACAAUUAAUCUUUAAAACUGAAUAUUAAUGUAUAAAACAUUAAUAAUUUAAAAAAAACUGAAUAUUAGUUGACAUAUUAUUAAUGUACAAUUAAUAUCUGAAAACUUAAUACUUAAAACGUUUCAUUAAUUAUGAAAAACGUUUCUUACAUUGUGUCCUCAUUAAACAGCCAGAAAACAA
rnacentral:lncRNA from 1 species